CCCUUAGAUGUUCUGGGCCGCACGCGCGCUACACUGAUGAAUUCAACGAGUUUUUCUUGUACUCUUAUGGGGUGCGGAAUGUCCUUGGUCGGAAGGCCUGGGUAAUCUUGUAAAUGUUCAUCGUGCUGGGGCUAGAUUUUUGCAAUUAUUAAUCUCCAACGAGGAAUUCCUAGUAAACGCAAGUCAUCAGCUUGCAUUGAUUACGUCCCUGCCCUUUGUACACACCGCCCGUCGCACCUACCGAUUGAACGGUCCGGUGAAAUCUUCGGAUCUGAAUUGAUGGUCUUUAUUGGUUGUCGAUUCGGAAAAGUUGAGUAAACCUUACCGUUUAGAGGAAGGUGAAGUCGUAACA
rnacentral:rRNA from 1 species